GGAGGGUGAGGUCGGUGCGCGGUGGCGUCACGGCGCCAGCUCCUCCCGACGCCGAGGUGGGUUCCGGGAGACCCGCGGGUCUGGCUGCGAGAGAUUUGGUAACUCGAGGCGUCCCUGGAGUACACUGAGGAUAAGUGUUUGAGAAAUGCUGUCUGAAGGAAUGAAGUCAGUCUAUGACAACGUCUCUCUGCCGUGAAUCAUUCCUGCAGAUGAAAAAGUGUGACUUGGCAGCUGGAUGGGGGUGAGAAAAGAGACAGAUUUAAGAGACAAUGGGCAUACAAGAAGAGGGAAAGGAGUUUGGAGUGAUGGCAAAUCGAGAAAGAUGGAUGGUAGCAUCUUCACAGAAACGGAGUCCUCAUGUGGAGGAACUGGCUUGAAGGAGGUGACAAGGAGCUCGGUUUUAGACUUGCUGAAACUGGGGUGACCACAAGAUCUGUGAGAUGGGUAUGGGAAUGAGUUCUCGAAGAAGGUGGAGAAUGGAUAUUUUGGACACCUUCAAGUAAAUAUGGUAGUUGAAGCUGAAAGCAAAGAGUUGAAGAGAGCAAAAGGCCAAGCGUUCCAUCCUGAGACAUACAUAUUCAGAGCCUGAGAAAAGUCAAGCCAAAAGUGAAUCUAAAGAUUGUCCAAAAAGACUGAAGAAUCAGGAUUGUAGAGUAUCACCGGAAAG
rnacentral:sRNA from 1 species